rnacentral:rRNA from 1 species
CCUACGGGUGGCAGCAGUGAGGAAUAUUGGUCAAUGGGCUAAGGCCUGAACCAGCCAAGUCGCGUGAGGGAAGACGGUCCUAUGGAUUGUAAACCUCUUUUGUCGGGGAGCAACGAGGCCACGUGUGGCCGAAGUGAGAGUACCCGAAGAAAAAGCAUCGGCUAACUCCGUGCCAGCAGCCGCGGUAAUACGGAGGAUCCGAGCGUUAUCCGGAUUUAUUGGGUUUAAAGGGAGCGUAGAUGGGUUGUUAAGUCAGUUGUGAAAGUUUGCGGCUCAACCGUAAAAUUGCAAUUGAUACUGGCAGCCUUGAGUACAGUUGAGGUAGGCGGAAUUCGUGGUGUAGCGGUGAAAUGCUUAGAUAUCACGAAGAACUCCGAUUGCGAAGGCAGCCUACUAAACUGCCACUGACAUUGAUGCUCGAAAGUGUGGGUAUCAAACAGGAUUAGAUACCCCAGUAGUC